rfam:Oryza nivara chromosome 4, whole genome shotgun sequence.
GUAUUAUCGCGGGUUCCCUUCAAUCACUUCACAUGGUACUAUUUCAAGGCCUACUAUGUGAAGUGUUUGGGGGAACUCUCGAUGUCAC